ensembl:lncRNA novel transcript
GAGUAGCUGGGACUACAGGCGCCCGCCAUCACGCCCGGCUGCUUUUUUUGUUUUAGUAGAGAGGAGGUUUCACCGUGUUAGCCAGGAUGGUCUCAAUCUCCUGACCUCGUGAUCCGCCCGCCUCGGCCUCUCAAAGUGCUGGGAUUACACGCGUGAGCCACCGCGCCUGGCCUGAAGAAAGUUAAGUGAAGACAGAACAAGAAAACAAACCAAGAAUUUCCCCUCACCAGCCACCAGCUCUGCCAGCAACUUGAUCUUAGACUUCCCAGCCUCCGUAACGCCUCUGCUUAUAAUCUGUCAUGGAUUGGAAAACUAGAAAAAACAGUUUACAGAGUAUAACAAACUUUGGAGGAGUUAAUCGACUCUAAGUAAAAGAGUAUCUAGCACGGCUGUGGAACAAAGGAGAGACUCACAAACUGUUGAAAGAAUAAAUGAAUGAAUGAAUUCUGUUCAUGAGCUUUAAUAAAACAGCUCUGAGUAGUAACAGUGGAUCAAAUUUAGGCUUCUUGAUGCAGGCAUGGUGUAGAUUACUACUUCUGUAUUGUCCCAGGAGCUCAGCACAUUCCUGCAGAGAUGAUAGGAGCUCAUCUGAUACUUGUCAGCUCUGUAGCCAAGACCAGGAAGUGGCUGCAUUACAAGGUACAAAACAUGCCCCCACAACCCCCAGCUCCCGACAUGAGGAAGAUGAGCAGAGCAGUUUCCUCUAAAAUCUGCUUGGCUGGGGCAAGCAUGAUGAUAUCUAUAGGUAAAAGCUUUGAAUAAACUCCAGUCCCCAAGAGAGAGAAUGAGAAUCACCGGAAUACGAAACUUCCCUGUUGGACUUCCCAACAUUCUUGAAUGCACCAAGAUAGCCUCUUGCUGUGAGAUUAAUAAAUGAAUAAAUGCCUCCAUAUUUUUCAAAUCUGUGAAGUUAACAACAUGUAGAUUUUUUUGCAUAUUUAAAAACUGCAACUAAAUCUUAAUGCCUCUGAAGCAGAUGGAAGAAAAUAAUAGGCUUCCAUUAACUGUGUCAAAUUGUAUAGGUCUUGGCCAUCACUGGUCCUGUUGUGAUGAAGGUUUUUUGCCCUUGGAUAUAAUUUAAUUUUCAAUUCUUCUAAUUAUGGUACUUCAGAACAUCAAUAUUUGAGAUGAACUUCUCUAGUGUCAAGGACUGAUUUGAGUUGUGUAAACCCUGAAUAUCUGAGACAGGUCUCGAUUAUUUUAGAAAGUUUAUUUUGCCAAGGUUGAGGAUGUGUGCCUGUGACACGGCCUCGGGAGGUCCUGAGGACAUGUGCUCAAGGUGGUCAGAGCACAGCUUUGCUUUAUACAUUUUAGAGAGACAUGAGACAUCAACCGACAUAUGUAAGAUGAACAUUGGUUCCAUCUGGAAAGGCGAGACAACUUCAAACGAGGAGGGGGCUUCCAGGUCAUAGGUAGAUAAGAGACAAAUGGCUGCAUUCUUUUGAGUUUCUGAUUAGCCUUUCCAAAGGAGGCAAUUAGAGUGAGCAAAAUGAACAAAAUCAAUUAUUUUGAUUCUGAACAAAAUGGGAGGCUGGUUUUCCCUAAGCAGUUCCCAGCUUGACUUUUCCCUUUAGCUGAGGGAUUUGGGGGGCCCAAGAUUUAUUUUUCUUUCACCGUUGUAUCAAACUACACAGGCGGCCUUGGAAACCAUCACAGUUGAGAGUAGGUAACGCCCAUUUGUUGCAUAGUUUUGUGCUCCACACUCUUAUCUACAAAAUUAUGAAUUUUUUUACAUAUAUUAAUUUCAGAAAAACUAAAAAUAAAACAAAGUAGUUUCAAAC